rnacentral:rRNA from 1 species
AGUGAACGCUGGCGGUAGGCCUAACACAUGCAAGUCGAACGGCAGCACAGUAAGAGCUUGCUCUUACGGGUGGCGAGUGGCGGACGGGUGAGGAAUACAUCGGAAUCUACUUUUUCGUGGGGGAUAACGUAGGGAAACUUACGCUAAUACCGCAUACGACCUACGGGUGAAAGCAGGGGAUCUUCGGACCUUGCGCGAUUGAAUGAGCCGAUGUCGGAUUAGCUAGUUGGCGGGGUAAAGGCCCACCAAGGCGACGAUCCGUAGCUGGUCUGAGAGGAUGAUCAGCCACACUGGAACUGAGACACGGUCCAGACUACUACGGGAGGCAGCAGUGGGGAAUAUUGGACAAUGGGCGCAAGCCUGAUCCAGCCAUACCGCGUGGGUGAAGAAGGCCUUCAGGUUGUAAAGCCCUUUUGUUGGGAAAAAAAAGCAGCAGGUUAAUACCCCGCUGUUCUGACGGUACCCGAAGAAUAAGCACCGGCUAACUUCGUG